rnacentral:tRNA from 2 species
GCCGGCGUAGCUCAGUUGGUAGAGCAAUUGUUUUGUAAACAAUGGGUCGGGGGUUCGAUUCCUCUCGCCGGCU